UAAUUGGAGCCCUCUGUUUCAGGUUCCCAGUCAUGGUCAUCCACAUCACAUUUCUAAAAACCAAUCCUUGUCCAGGCAAGUUGUCAGGAUUGUGGGUAUAUAUUCAGGGCAGAAGACGAAUUUCUUCUUUUAAGGCUUGUGAAACAGUUGCGACAAAAGUCACAAUUGAGAGUUUUUUUCUCCUUUUGCAGCCAUUUUAAUCUUAUUACGUAUACAUCUUGCCUUCCAAUAGGUAGGCAAAUUUACCUAGGUUACUUUUGAAACUUUUUAUCUACAUCUUUCAAACCACAACAAGGUAAGGUUCACAUUUUAACUUCUAAUGAAUGUUUUUAUCAUAUAUACAUCACUUUGUUUUCUUUUACAAACUCUCCCUAGUUAACCACUUGCCAUGUGAUUGUUCCUAAAUAUUUCAGAGAAAAAUGAGACAUAAAAGGGUUUGUCCAGAAACAGAAGCUUUGCAUUUCACUUCUUCUGGGAGGGAUAAAGACACAUUUUACAAAAGAUUCAUCAACAAGGAGAAAGAAAUGACUGACACUCACCUGAGUCACAUUCCAGAGGAAUUAUGCAUUGGUGAAAUGAUCCAGUCAGAGCAGAAAAAUGUUCCAGGAGAACAAACAGAACAACACCAUGAAGUAAAAAACCAAGGACAAGAUACACAUACAGACAUACUCUGUUCAUCACAUACCAGUACACAAACAACAGAUGAGAUGGAUAACUUAGAGAGUAUACUCAGUAUUCACCAAGAAAUGACUGGCACUAACCUGAGGGAUGAGUAUUUAUAAACAUGUUGCAGCUCAAGAGGAGUAUUGCGACUCAGAUGCAGAUGUCCAGUCUGUGCAGAGUACUACCACAUGUCAAGAAGGCAAGAUCUUAGGUUGCAUGCAGUGUAUAACACUAACAAUGUAAAUUACUUUAUUCAACUAUAAAAA